AUGUCUUCUCACAAGACUUUCAGGAUCAAGCAAUUUCUGGCCAAGGAACAAAAGCAAAAUCGUCCCAUUCCCCAGUGGAUUUGGAGGAAAACUGGUCAUAAAAUCAGGUACAACUCCAAGAGGAGACAUUGGAGAAGAACCAAGCUGGGUCAAUGA